rnacentral:rRNA from 1 species
AUUGAACGCUGGCGGCAGGCCUAACACAUGCAAGUCGAGCGAUCGUCGGAAGGGUGAGUAAUAUCUGGAAAACAGCCUGACGGAGGGGGAUAACUACUGGAAACGGUAGCUAAUCACACAUACCAUCAGAUGGGCCCAUAUGGGAUUAGCUAGUAGGUGGGGUAACGGCUCACCUAGGCGACGAUCCCUACCUGGUCUGAGAGGAUGACCAGCCACACUGGAACUGAGACACGGUCCAGACUCUUAGGGGAGGCGGCAUUGGGGAAUAUUGCACAAGGGGCGCAAGCCGGAGGCAGCCAGGCGGCGUGGGUGAAGAGGGCCUUCGGGUUGAAAGGCACUUUCAGCGGGGCGGCGUUACCCGCAGAAGAAGCACCGGCUAACUACGUGCCAGCAGCCGCGGUAAUAC